UACGUGCAGUUUUUUCUUGAUUUCAAUGCUAAAUUCGAUCAAAUUUUUGCUUCUCUGCUAUAUUCAUCGUAGUGUUUGUCAUCAUAGUUAUAUUGAGUGAUUUUGAUUAGUUAUAAACCUCUUCAAUCCUCUACUUUUCUCCCCACACAAGUGACAUCAGCCGCUCCUCUCUGGCCUGAAUUUCAAGUCUAGAAGCAACCUUCAAAUUCCGGUGACUGAAGCUGAGAAGUGCGCAUCUGCCUCAAUGACGUUGCAAAUCUUCUCUACUAUACAUUAAAAAUUAGGUUGUUGCCGCAAUACACUGGCUUGCCCUCUUCAGAAGAUCGAUUCUUUGUUACGAUCAAACGGCAUGUUCAUAGUUACUUCGUGAGCUGGCCCAUAGUGUGCAUACAUAUUUUAUUUUCUUCAAAUUUUAAAUUCGGGGCCCCCUUCCCACUUUUUUUAUAGCUUUUGCUUAUACCUAAGUACAGUGAUCUUGACAUUGAUCAAAAUAAAUAAUUGAAUUCAACAGGUGCUAAUUUUUAAGUUAGAAUUGUGGGAGUUUGUAUUUAUUUUCCAAUUUUGUUCGUACCUUUCAGAGU
rnacentral:lncRNA from 1 species